CAGAAGGAGGAGAGGUGCACGCGCCGCGAGUGGGCGGAGCUUCUGGCGGCGACCUUCGGGGCGGGCGCCUUGGAUGUUAGUGGCUUUUGUUUGAGGGUCCGAGAUCCUCGGAUCAGCCCAGCGGAGAUUGGGCUAGUGAGGCCGACCAAACUUGCCCAGAAUUCUGUUUCCCUUGUCUCUUAGUUGUCUCGUGCUCCGUCGGCGGAGGCCGCGUCCACCCCGAGCCCUGAGCCAGAGUCCCGCGGGCCAGGGUCCGGCUCAAGACAGGGAGUCCUUUCCGAGUGUCGCCGCUCACGCGAAGGCCGCAGGUGCCACGAAGUCGGAGCACCGAGGAGACGCAGACUGGAUGUCGGGAACCGAGGGUGGGCGGAGGCCCUGCUGCAAUGGUGUCCUGAGUUCUGAAAGAGGCCCCGGACGCUGCGUCCUUACUUCUUCGGUCCUCGGUUCUUUGUGCCCUUGUUGAAAUCAUUUCGAUCAAGACAUAUAGGCAGCCACGCAAUAGUGUGGGUAGAACACUGUAAGGAAGAAGUAGAGGCUAUGCCUUCUAGUGAGGAGGGGAGGCAUUGCACAGGGUGGGAAUUUGGAUACAUUUUGGUGCACUCGUAGUCAUUGUUUCCCCAGAGGCCUCAGUCAUGUAAGGAGCUUACAAAAGAAAUUUAAGAAAGAUAAAUUCUUAAUGUAACCAGAUCCCAGCCCAAGAUGACCUGUGGUGUGCCCAACAGACACCAUGAGAGGACAAGAGUGCCUGUUCCACUCGAAUUCAAAAUACCUCCACAGUGUGUCUCUUCUCAUAGGCUGGCAUGGAGUUGGGGAUGGGAGGAACCUGCCAAGCAAGGUGUUCCUGCCGUAGCAUCAUGGGUCAUCAUUCCAGUUCCAGGCUCAGCCACCCAAGAGACCCAGCACUGUGUGCCAUACAGCUUGCUUUUGUAACCCUUUCUGCACAUGGCUGAGCACAAGGCUGCACAUCCUGAGCGAGAAAUGUGCAAGCGCCUGGCAGGGCUUUACCAGCAGCAACUCAUAGUGAACCAUCCCAGAAGUGCAGAGUGGUGCCUUUCAUUUCCGAAGAACCUUAGCAUUCACACAGCAUGAAGAGGGGAGCAAGCAAAGAGAAUGGGAAGGACUUCACUGCCACUUCAGGCCUUCUGCAGCAAAAGGCCUCUUACCCUGGCUGGAAGCUGCAUGGUGAUACUCAAGGCAGUGAGGCCUUCCAAAGUGGACAAAAUGAUUAUAGCUGCCAAGAAUAUGGGAAAGACUUCGGCCACUGAUACAUGCUUUUUGAGCACCAAAAAAAUCCACACUGCAGAAAAGCUAUGACUAUAGUGAAUGUGGGAAAUUAUUUAGGUAUGAAUCCAACUUCAUUAAACAUCAGUGAGGUCACAUUGAAAUGUGGUGAGUGUGGAAAGGCCUUCAGUUUCAAAUAUAACAUUGUUGACCACUACAAAAUUCACACUGGAGAAAGGCCUUACACGUGUUUUAAAUGUGAGAAGGGCUUCAUGAGGAAGUCCCACCUUGUUCAGCAACAGAAAAUCCACAUUGAAGGAUUCUUUACAAAAAGGUCUAAUGGCUGUAACCAGAGAAUUCACACCAGGCCAAGGCCUUAUAAAUGCAGCCAAUGUGAAGAGGCUUCCACACUGGAAAAAGACCUUGAGUGAGUCAGUGUGGGAAGUCCUUUAUGCACAAUUCUACACUGAUUAGAUAUCAGAAAGUUCACACUGGAGGAAGACCUUAUGCAUGCAGUGAAUGUGGGAAAUUCUUCAUGGAGAGCUCCAUCCUCAUCAUCAGAGAGUUCAUACUGGAGAAAGGCCUUAAGAGUACAGUGAGUAUGGGAAGUUCUUUAAGUAUUGAAUCACACUGAACAGGCUGCACUCUGGGGAAAGGCCUUAAUGUAUGCAGUGAAUGGGAAGUUUUUAUGGACAGCUCCAUGCUCAGCCACCAGAGAGUUCACACUGGGGAAAGGCCUUAUGCAUGUGGCAAGUGUGGGAAACUUUUUAAGGUAUCACUCCAUAUUAGAUAUACACCAGAGUUCAUACUGGAGAAAAACCUUAGGAGUGUAGUGAAUGUGGGAAAUUCUUUAGGCACAAUUCAGAUCAAAUCAGACAUUGAAGAAAUCACAUGGGAGAAAAGCCUUAUGAGUGAAUGUGAGAGAGUAGCCAAAAGUCCCAUCUCAUCUGGCAUCAAAAAGUUCAUACUCAGGAGAACUCACAAGUGCAGCAAAUGUGGGAAGUUCUUUAUGGAUAGCUCCACAAUCAUCAGAGUUCACACUGGGGAAAAGACUUAUGAGUACAGCAGAUGUGGAAACUAUAGAUACAACUCCAGCCUCAUCAAACAUAAGAGAACUCAUACUGGAGAAAGGCCUUACCAGUGUAAUGAAUGUGGGAUGGGCUUUAACCAAAAUUCCUGCCUCAUUCAACACCACAAAGUUCACACCAGAUGAAAUGUAUAAAGAUUUCAAACAGACAUGUUUGGAUGUCUCACUAUGAACUAUUACUUUAGAUUAUAAAAUUCAGGUAAAAAAUUUACUAUAUGAACCAUAUUUAAGUUCACUUGUCUUAAGUCAUUGAUACACUAUUAUGCAGUGAGUAUGCAGAAGUCUUUUUACUUUAUGAAACUAAAUUUUAUACUGUUUAGCAGCUAAUUUCCCAGGAUAUCCAGCUUCUGAUAACUGUCACUAUGACUUUUACUACUACUGGUUCUCCAUAUAAGAAAAAUGAAGUUUCUGCCUUUUCUUAAUUCCUUUGUGCCUUAUUUCACUUACCAUCAUGUCAUAAUCAUGACAAGUUCUAUCCUUUUAAAAAACAUUAAAGUUCCAUUUUAUGCAUGUA